UUUCCUCAUGAAUCUUUUUUUUUUUUUUUCCUGUGUGUGUUUUGAAUUGCAUUUUAAAAUUGCCCAGCUGGAGACAAGGCUUGAUUAGAGCUGGAACAAUAGCUCCCUUUUAUUAAUAACGGGAAGGAUUUACAAUCGUACAGCACCUUCCUUGGAAAGCUUUCCAAACCAUUUGCAAACACUCACAAAUUUCAGAUUGCGCAGCCCUUGGCUGUGAGGUGGUCCCUAAGUGACCUCCUGCAGCGCUGCCUCCGCUGCGGUUCCAACACGGCCUUGCACUGGAGCACUGAUGUGUGUCCCUGUGGAGUGACCUUGCUGGGGGGACUGGGCCCACCGAGCGAUUCAGUGCUGGAAUCUGCAUUGGCAGGUGUGCAAAUGUGGAGACUGUAACAGCAGCAAGUGAGGAUGGAUGAGGUGUUUUCUGGGGUCAUAUCCAAUUCCAGAGAAGAAACCCUGGUGAUUUAUAAUUUUUUUCUUGUAGAUUUUAUUCUGAGCUCCACUGUAUCUUGUGAGAAGACUGAGUUUGACCCUUUUGGCUACUAAAAAUGGUUCUGUUUUUAAACCUUGGUGCUUUUCCGCUUCCCUGUGGUCAUGCAGAAGAGCAAGCAGUGCAAUUAAACAGUACAGCAAAGGGCAGCUCCCUCCCCCUUUCCCUUUCAAAAAAUCCAGAGUUGUGUGUCUUGAACUGCUGCAUAGGCAGAAAACAUACAAAGCCCUUGUCAGCAUUGUGCUGAUGUGUGGCACGUUAAAAAAAAUACACACAAAAGGGGUGGGGAGAGCUGGUGCCUCCAGGGAGCAAAAUUGUGGGGCCCCUUUCCCUCCAAGCCCACAGACCUACGUGGGAUAGUCUUUUCCUCCUAAUUUUGCUCAGGUUGGAGGGAGUGUUGAACAUCUUAAAUGGUGUUGAUGAGGAUCAGGGUCUCCUUGAAUUACAUUUUGUUUUCUCUGUGAACUUGCUCCCGUGAGAUGCAGCUGGUUUAUUACUCCAUUCCUCAGAGUGCCAGGAAGAAGGGAAACGCUUCCUUACCGAGUGUCCUUUCCUUUGUUUUGUUGCAAAGGUGAUAACCACAGACGUGGUGCUGGUUUCUGCCGGGUCACACAUGGCUGGGAGGCGCAGCUUCCCGCAGUCAUUAGCACACAGGGAGUGCUGGGGGUCGUUAAAUGAGGAUAUCACAUCGGGAUUCCAUGCAUGCCGCUGCCUGACCCGGCCCUGGAGAAGCCCCUCAGGAGAAAUUAUUUCACUGACUGCUUGCUGCAGGGAUUUCUAGCACAGCUAUGGCUUUAUCCUUUUUUUUUUUUUUUUGGCCAAAAUGAAGUGCAGGGUGGGGAUGAGGUGGCCAGGCCAGGUUUCAUACCCUGCUCCCUACGGUAGGUGUGUGAACAGUGUGCCUAAAGCCUUGUUUGGAAUAAGGCAGCGUGGACAGGGAUUUGGAUUUCAUUCCCUCAUUAGGGCUGUGCUGGUUUGGAGAUGCACCUUGUACUCUUCAUGGGCCUUUGCUGGCAGGGAGGUUUGGAGGAGCAAGAAGCUGCCUGUUGGGAUGAUUCCACAUUUUUCAGGCUGGCACACCCUGUGGGACUCUAAAUUACUUUCCUUUGGCAGUUUAGGAUAAACUGAGAAUUGCCUUGUGAGCACUGAACUUUUACCACCCUGAAGAGUUACUCGAGCUACAUCCAUGAUAUUUCCAAGCUAAACAAAACCUGAAUUUCCAGUGCCAAAAAGCAAUACAAACCUCCACUCCUCCUCUGUUCAGGAGAAAACCACAGUCUUUCAAGCUUUGCUCUUAGCCCAAGGAGUUAAAAAGCUGCACUGUGAGAUCUGCAGAGGUGAAAAUAAAAGCCAAAGGCAGACGAGGAACUUCUCCCAUGCCGUGUUGGAGGAGAGGCUGUAGAGCACAGCAGGUGUUGAUGCACAAAUAUUUCUCUUUGUGCUUUCUCUGGAGUGAAGGAGUGCUAACUGCACAGACAUGGGGUCACUCCUCUUCAUUUAAACACCCUCGUGUUGCUGUGGUAUCAAAAUGGUGUUUGAUGCAACCAAAGCUCAGAUCAUGGUGGCUUGGAGUUUAUUUUGUGCUGCUCAAUCCAAUGCAGAAUGUGAGGAGAGCAGCCUCUGUCUUGCAGGUUUGGACUGUGGGGCUUGUCCUGUAACAUUUCCAGUGUAAUUUCUGAGAUUUUUUUUUUCUCCUGGGCAUUGCACACAGGUAAAUAUCACAUCUGGAUGUAGAUUUAAUACAACAAUUAAGUGUUAAAAAUGGCAAAGUAUAGGAUUCUGUGAUCUAACCAGUCCUAGGGGAUUUACAUCCUUUGCAGUUGUCCUGUUUGGGUAUCAAAUCACAUAGAGCUGUCUUUUUUCUGUUUAUUUUCUUUGGCUUUUCCUUAAAAUGUGAUCUUUUGCAGCCUGGAUGGCCACAGUCCUGUCUAGUGAUGAAAGCCCUGUGUUUGGGGAGAACCCUUGUGAGUGUGUAUCCCAAAGGCUGAGGGUCAUGGAGAGCAGCUCAGCUCCCCUUGUCCUGAGUUGUUUGGCCCCUGGGAAGGGCAGCACGCAGGGCAGUGCAGCUGUGCCUCACCCCUUGGCGCUCCUCACGCUGUCACUCAUGGAGAACACUGGGCUGGCACAAAUGUGUGUCCUGCAGACACAAGGAUGGUGUUGGUCCUUCAUCACAGCCCCUCUGACCUGCUCAGGGGAGGGUUGUACCUGCUCUGCUCUCCAGCCUGGGGCUGUGUUCUUUAAAAUCAUCGACUGAGCUGUGGGGAUCUGGUUACAUCAGCAUCGCUGGUGUGGUUGCAACCAGGAACAGCUUCCCUGCAAAGCAUUUGAAGAGUAUCACCAUGGUCCAGAGCUUUGUUUUGCGUCACCAGCCGAGCUUUGUGCUGCUCUUCCAGCUGGCUGUUGUGUAAAUGGAGCCCUCCUGGCGCUGGUCUCAACCCUCUCCUGUCAACAGAGUCGAUGGCUUUGUUUGUGACAGCUCCCAGCCCCUGCGUGUCCUGUGAGAUGGCCGGGUGACAGCAGUGACUCCGUGUGAGAUUCCCUGGAAGCACCUGGGAGCUGCUGUGGUUUCCUCGUGUGUCCCUUGGAGGUGCCACCCCAGCGGGGAGGAAGAACAGUUGGGAUUGCAGCUGCAGCAAGUGCACCCCAUCGGAGGAGGAGAAUUUUUCAUGGAAGAGCUGUUUGAUUUUUUUGGUGGUUUUUUGGUUUGGGUUUUUCCUCUCUGAAAUGGAGAGCCCCUUAAAGGUAGACACAGGUACAAACUGCUCCUUGGGCUUCCCAUCAGGUAAAGAAAUGGAAAGCUGAGCCCAGCUCCUCACUGGAAGCGCCGGUGGAGCGUGUUGGCAGCGCAUUUUCUGGUGUGCACGUGGCUCCAUCACACGUUGUGAAUAAUAGAUGGCUUGCGUGCAAGGAAUUGUUGGGGUUUUUAAUUAAUCAGCAGAUCCCAGUUUGGCAGAGCCCAUCAUCACUGGGGAAACUGAGGCACGGGGCUGCCGAAGGAUGGGCUUG